UCGGCCUCCCAGAGUGCUGGGAUUACAGGUGUGAGCCACCGCGCCCGGCCUGUAAUGACUAUAUUAAGAUGUGAACAAGAUAACAAAAUGCAGGCAGAAUAUUGGAGUGCAGCACGAGGCAUUCUGUACAGACAUGUGUACAAGACAACAGUUGUAUGUACACAGACUCUUUAAGAUGUGCACGGUAUAGCGUGUUAUGCACACGGAACAAUCUGGGGGGGGUGCCGGAUAAUGCAUCCUGGACUUGGAAGAGCGUGAGCUUUGUGAACCAUGUAAUCUGGCAUGUAGACAGAGUGUGUGCACCGUGUGAUGGGUACACGCAGGAUUCACUGUGGCGCGUGUGCAGUGCCUGCGGGCCCAGCACGCCUUGGGAGACGUGUGAUGCAGUAUGAAUUCUGGUUACAACGUGUUGCCAGGCCAUGGGGUGACACGGUGACAGAUGCCCUCCCUGCACGAGCACCAGGCAAUGUGUGUGGGGGCUGCGUGCACGGGGCUGCGUGCACGGGGCUGCAUGCACGGAAGGGCGGUCAGCGGGUUUGCAGGCAAUCCAGCUUCAUAAUGGAAAUGCAGUGGCCACAGGGCUGACGGUCACUGGUCACCGAGGCCUGCCCGUGAGCCCGUGUGCCCCGAGGCUAGGCACCCCCGUCAUCCCCAGCUCAGAAAAACCACACCACGACCCUGCAGGGCAGAUUCUGUUUUGAUCUCAGGGCCCAGGAAAGGAAAGGGAUGCUCCAUCCUCCUAUUUUACUUCUGUAGCAAUGGAGUAAUUUUUACCUGCUUUUUUGCCCUGGAAGGGGUGUGCGAACCCCAAGAUGGAGGUCCUCUUGCAAGAGAGGCUGUGGGCGCUGGUGUUUGGGCUCCUAUUGCAGCUGCAGAGAGCAGAUGCGCACAGAGAGGGUGGACAGACAGCAGGAGAGGCCCCGAAUCCUGGGCCCCAUACCCUCAUUUUGGGGUGCUGUCCCCGCUGGUGCCUGGGGCUGUCAGAUCAAACUCAAAGCACGGUAGUCAGGAGCAAACCGGCCCCCGCCCCCCCCCACUCUUCAGCGGGGUGCACAGGCGAGAAAGGCAGCGCCCUCCGGCUUCACCCCACUCAGCCAUACCCGCCACACCCACGUGGCACAGAGGGGGCUCAGAACCCACGUGUGGGGACCCCCAGGGCCAAGUUUGGGGAGCAGCUGUGAUGAAGGCUGCCCUGGACUGGGGCCCUGGCCCUUCAUCUUCCCUGUCAGCUAUACAUUUUUAGGGAGAGGUUCAGAGUUUGGCCAAGAAAGAAAAAAAGCAAAGCAAAAAAAACCCCAAAAAAACACACAAAAAAACCAAAGGCUUGAGCUGCUGCCCCAGCCGCAGGCUCACCCCGUCCCCUGGCCCUUUUACCCGAAAGCGCGGCGGAUUUUCCGUGACGUUCUUCAGUGAAAUGUUUGACAACACUGCAGCCCAGUAAUUCACAGCCUUCUUCCCUUGGAGAUUUUUGGGAAUUAGCAGUACGUGCAACAGGGGACGGUGAGCCGUCUGGCCGUCCCUAUCUGGAUGGGCCUGGCGUCCGCGGCUUGCUCUCCCUGCAGGGGUAAGCCCCAAGCACCCUGGUGUAUUUUUAAUCUCUGCUGGCUGCACAGAUGUGCUGUCGGAAAGACGCAGAGAAUAUUUUCCUUCCCGACUGUCGUGUGUGUCUCUGUGUGUGUGUGUGUGGGGGGUGUUGAAGGGGCCCCCAGAAUUUGUUUCUGAGCAGAGGACGGCAGUGAGAGUGGAGACGGAAAGGCGCAGUGGGCAGGGGAGAGGCGCUGAGCCGGUGGUGUUUACUCGCGGGGUGGAGAUCCCAGUGGAAACCAGUCCCCAGGUCCCGCUGAGUGGGGAGGAGGGUCGAGAGAGGAGAGGAAAGUGAACGGGCUUCCAACAGAAACAAACCAAAAGGAAAGUACGAAUUAGACUGCAGUGGCCAGGUACUCGCUUCUGGGCAUGCAUCGAAAGGAACUGACAGCAGAUCUCAGAGGGAUAUUUGAGACCUCACCGUUCACGACAGCCAAGAAGUGGAAGCAGCCCAGGUGUCCGCUGAAGACAAACGGAUAAACAAAAUGCGGGGUGCACAACGGCUCUGGGGACUGCCAGGCGGGAGCCGCUCUGCUGGUGUCUCCUCUCACGCCCAGCCGCUUAGAAUAACCCGAGGGGCUGAUUGACACAUGAAGGUUUUCGGGCGUCAUUCUUCAUGUCUGAGCUUGUCCGUGUGGCGAGAAGUCAGAGCCUCCUCGACUGUUUUCUGGCCUGGCUGCCACCUGGCAAGUCCACAGACGCUGUGGCCGUAGAACAUACUCCGUCCGUUCCGUCCUCUGCGGUGGGGCCCGGCCUGUCCGCGGUCAGCACGAGGCCGGUCUGGGUGGACAUCUCGUGCGCUCAGCAGGAGCGAGCCUUCCACGCUGGCAGGUAAACUGGUCAACGUCCUUCUUGUGGCUCGAUUAACACGCGCUUCAGCUGCCCUGCCCCGAAGACCAGUUUUCUGUCUCAUGUGACACCCACACGCAGCGUUUGCCGAGGCGAGGGGACCACGUCGGAGCCAGGCGUCCGCAGAACCCACGGCCUCGGUGUUUCAUACACCAUGCACCGUGUGAAGAGACCGUGUGAAGAGAGUGGCCCGCUUACACACACGGACCACGGCCACCGUCCUGCCCGGACACACGUUCUCGGAGACGUGAGCGGAGAACUUUCUGCUCGGGGACUCUGGCACUGUGCCCUUCUCUACCCGGACUCUUCUCUCUCCUGCCUCUUUCCCGCGCACACAUUCCAGGCUGUUC